UAAGUCAUAGGGAAAAUGCAAGGACGGUCUUCAUCAUAAUUACUAGUCAUUAUUUCCUUUAGCAGAAAACAAGAAGUGUCUUCAUUACACAUCGGUUUGUCAUCUCCCCAUCUUUCCUUUUGUUCUCGAUUUAGUUUCUCUUCAGCUCUUCAACACCUUCAAGCAUUCACGGAUUUUGUCCAUCGCCUAUCUGCAUCCACCUCUUUCACCACGAAAGAAGGAACUUCUUUCAGAUAAGUUGUUUCUCUCCUUUUCAGUCCCUCUGUAGCUAGAAUGUGAGUAGCCUUGUUUGAUUUUCUAUAGGUAAAUUGAAAAACACAAGACCUAAAACUUGAACAUAAUUGUUUUGACUCAUUGAUAAAAACUUUAAUCUCAGAUCUAUCUGCUUCCUCAGCUUAUAGUUUACGAAUCACUGUAUGGGCAUCUCCUUCUAUUUCAAGCGCCCUCAGCCCCAGAUUUAAACCUAGAUGCGUCAAAGUUGAUUUUAUUUGUUGAACUGAUUGGAGCUAUCCAUCUGUCUGUGAGAAGCCUACUCCCUGAUCAAGAGCCCGUAGAUUAACGAGAAAAAGGGAAAUUAACUGAAUAGUCCUUGAUCUACUACAAACUUACAAUUUAACCCAGAUUUACAAGAAGUUGGAAGAUCAGAUCAACACAUCGAAUCACACUAUCCAACUUACCAAGAGAUUUUGCUAAACAUACUAUGUUUUAUAUGGGCAUUCCCGAAACAGAUGCUCCCUAUUCUCUGCUCCAUUUUGGCAUCUUUGGCAAGCAACGGAUCCCAGCAUUCGCCUGUAAUGUAGGUUGCUAAAAGUAGGCAGAUAGUUAUAGAAAAUUCUCCAGUUUGUAAUUUUAAUCUUAGGAGGUAGAUCUAGGUUCUACAAUUUUUUGUAAAAUAUUCUGUAGCUUUGUUGUCUUUGGGUCUGUCCAUCUUGUAAGAGAAAUUUAUGCCUGCUAGGUACCGAAUACUCCCCCGUCAGCUCACCACGCCAAAUGAUAUGAUCUUCAUGCGGAUUCAUAGAUAGAGGAAUGCAUAAAAUUCUCGUAGCUUCCUUAUCGAAAUUCGAAUUAGCCCAUCUUUUCA